UGGCGAAAAACAAUCAGAGGAUGGUAAUAGUGACACGACUAACAAAAACAAUCCAGCUUUGGAUUUUCCAGUUGAAAAAUGGCUACUACCUAUUAUUGGAUUUUUACUCGGAUUUUUAGCCACACUAUGUAUAUAGGUACCAAACGAGGGAGUUAAUUAGUAUGAGGAGUGCAAUUUUGACCUUUACUUUGGCUACGUUCGUUGCUAUUUCAAUAAUUUUCACCAUCGUCUCGGUGCUUCUACUUUUUGCGUCUAUAGAAAAAGACUCUCCUCAAGUGUCGCGGUACUUGUGGUUAACUAUUGUACACUUGUGCUUGCAAAAUGUUUUAGCGAUUGUAGUACCUAUCCUUUUGAUAUUCGAAAAGAACGCUCCUACAGAAGCAAGUUUGAAUUGGAUGGUCGUCGUCAUGAUAGUUGGCCUUGGUUGGACACAUUUAACCAUAAGGUUCAGAACAUUUACAAAUGCUUUCAUUUUUACCAGAUAUUAAGAUCGAUGUCUUCAAAUUUGUUAUUUAUUCAAAAAUAUCUUACAACUUUUCAGUGAGUUCGAUUUCCAAGAUUUAGUGAAAAUUGAAAAAUUGUUCAAUAAAGCAACAUUGUUCAAUUAUUAACAGAAUAUUGUUUAAAUUUGCG